rnacentral:lncRNA from 1 species
CUCAGGACACUUCCUGUUUUUGGAGGCCCUGCUAGCUAAGAAUGUGAAGGAUUAAUAAAAAGAAGAGUAAGCAACAGAGGUGUAUGUGACUUGUAAGCCUAAAAUAUUUACUAACUGGACCAUCAGAGCAAAGAUUUGCCGACCUUUGGCACAAGGAUUAUAAUGCAAGGUCUUUAUCAGGAAGAAGGUGAAAGGGCUCUGGAGUACAGAGCAGGAAAUACCACUCUUGAUGCAUGGAAUCCAAGAAAGUGUAUGGAUAGAGGAAGUGAACUAUGAAGAAAAGAUGGGAUUUCAACACAAGGAAAUGGAACAGAAGGAAAGAGGAGGAGAGCAAGAAUCAACCUAUUAUCUCUCACUCUGAACUGCAAUGCAUAGUGGGGAGCUUUGAAAAUAUGUUUGUUCCAAAUCCUAAAGUUGAAAAUAAAUGGAAACUAAAAUAAACUUACCUAUAUUCUAAGUUGAAAAUUCCCCACAGAGAGCAAGAAUUAUUUCAAAUGACUUUUGACCUCAGUACGCCAACUGGAAUUCUCUCACGGGAAGUAGGCCCAAGUGCCGUCGGGGCUGCGCAGCCGCAGUGAAUGGGGUGACCUGAGAGGAAGAAGAACACGUCUAAGUGGCAGACAGUCCCGGGCCCGCUCCUCACCGCAGUCUUCAUUUUCCCUUCACUCAUUCAGCAAAGAAUUACUAAGCGCCUACUGCGCAGGAAGCACUGGAAGCGUCGUGGCAGAAGCUUCUUCCUGGAAGAAAAAGUAAACUUCUUGAGGCUUCUUCUCGAGUUGUAGGUCUUAAUCUCAUUUCAGGAUUUGGUUAUCCAGAGGCCCAGCACUACCUUCAGAUCGGAGCUGAGAUGCACAGGCCCUGGUGGGAGAGCGUGACGUGCAGUGCUUUCUCGUGGAACCGGGCCCUGGCGGACCAGGCUGCAAACCCGCGUCUGCUGACUCACUCAUUCUCGCCACACACUUCGCGCCAGCCUGGCCCGGGCAAAAACAAACAGCGCAGGCUCUGCACUUCUCUGGAGCAGGCUCCCGGGGACCCUGGCACCGGGAUCCCCGCACGUACCAAGGAUGGAACUCAUGGCAUCACACAUCUAGGCAAGAGCUCACUGCUGAGCUACACUUCUAGUCCUGAUCUUUUUCAUACAAAUGAACUGGAUUUUAGACAACUUGGUCUCAGAGAAGAUCCUGUUUCAUUCUUGGGAAAUCUGCAGUUUUUUGCAUUCAUCAGGUGACUUUGAAAUUUGCCAAAUCUGAGACAUAGCUGAGAGGGAGUAAGCGCUGUUUCCUGAAGGAGGAAUAAUUCUUAAGAAGAAAGAAUUCCACAGCUGUUGGGAACCUUGCUGAUUUUUGUAAUUUAUUUCCUUUUUCAUAGUUUCAAAAAGUCUCCCACGAGACAAAGAAGUGCAAGCACUUUCUAAUACUAUAAUUUGCUUUCCA